rnacentral:siRNA from 1 species
AAGGGUGUUUGCGGUUCCAAUCA